UUUUUGGAGAGUUUGAUCCUGGCUCAGGACGAACGCUGGCGGCGUGCCUAAUACAUGCAAGUCGAGCGAAUGAUUGG
rnacentral:rRNA from 1 species